rnacentral:rRNA from 1 species
UACGGAGGGUGCGAGCGUUGUCCGGAAUCACUGGGCGUAAAGGGCGCGUAGGCGGCCUGGUAAGUAGGGGGUGAAAUCCUGCGGCUUAACCGCAGGGCUGCCUUCUAAACUGUCAGGCUGGAGCACAGUAGAGGCAGGUGGAAUUCCCGGUGUAGCGGUGGAAUGCGUAGAGAUCGGGAAGAACAUCGGUGGCGAAGGCGGCCUGCUGGGCUGUUGCUGACGCUGAGACGCGAAAGCGUGGGGAGCGAACAGG